rnacentral:misc_RNA from 1 species
CCAAUAGCGUAUAUUAAAGUUGUUGCAGUUAAAAAGCUCGUAGUUGAACUUCGGGAUCAAUGGGUCGGUCAUGCCGUCGGUAUGUACUGAUUUUAUUGGUUCUCACCUUCUAAGGAACCGUAAUGUCAUUAGUUUGAUGUUGCGGGGAAUUAGGACUGUUACCUUGAAAAAAUUAGAGUGUUUAAAGCAGGCUAACGCUUGAAUACAUUAGCAUGGAAUAAUGAAAUAGGACAUCAGAUUCUAUUUUGUUGGUUUCUAGGUUCGAUGUAAUGAUUAAUAGGGAUAGUUGGGGGCAUUAGUAUUCAAUUGUCAGAGGUGAAAUUCUUGGAUUUAUUUAAGACUAACUACUGCGAAAGCAUUUGCCAAGGAUGUUUUCAUUAAUCAAGAACGAAAGUUAGGGGAUCGAAGACGAUCAGAUACCGUCGUAGUCUUAACCAUAAACUAUGCCGACUAGGGAUCGGAUGAUGUUAAUUUUUUAAUGACUCAUUCGGCACCUUACG